rnacentral:lncRNA from 1 species
CUAAUAUUUACCAGUCUUUCUUACUCCAUUCUGUUCUUUUUUGUUUAAGCUUUCCCAUCAUUCUUUUCCCCCUACCCUUCUUGUCUGCCAAAAACUAUCCACAUAAGCCCUUGGUUGUACAUUUUAUUUUAUGACUGAUGACAACCAUACCCAAGAGAUUUCAGCACAUAGGCUCUUGUUCCCAACAAACCUAGAGGUUCAUAGUCUGAUAUGGAAGUGAGCAUCAGUGUUUUCUGUUAUGGAAAUGGCUUUUUGGCUAUCCUCAGCAGAAGGUUCAAGUGGACUUGAUGCCGUGUCAAGCCUUCUGCAUUUUUUUAUAUCUAUCACAGAGAUAAUCAGAAGCUUGUAAUAAAUAGAGGUCAAAAAUCUUCAAAUUGUACCUUGAACAUAAUUUUUUGACAGAAAAAAAAAAAAGGGACUUCUCCAAGGGAAAGUAUUCAAAAAAGUCUUGGCAGUUCAAUGAGUUCCUCCCAGCCCAGAAUACCAACCUCAGACUUGCCUAUAGUCCCAUCACGCUAUGAAAAAAGGCAAACCAAAUGAGACAGAGCAAUUCAAAAAUGUGGCAUUUUAACAAACUGGACCUGCUUCUCUGCUGUCAAAGAAACCCGCAUAAGCAUAAAUGCUUCUGGAAAAAAAGACUCUUGAGGAGGGGAAGUCCAUCUGAUUAAACACAACGAAACAGAAGGCACAGAUCAGAACUAAGUCCAGCAUGUAGCAAAGGUAGUAUCAUACCCUUGAUAGAUAAAUUCAUGACGUUGCUUCUAGCAACGAGUAAAUGGCUGCCUAAUUCAUUCCUGAUGUACUUGCCUUAAUGAUCACUAAAUUAUUUACAUAGCUAAGGUAUUUUCAAAAGGAACAUCUGGAUUUACAGAUCUCAGUUGGUGAAUAUGAGUACAGAGUGGUUCCAUUCGAAAUAUAUAUAUAUAUUUACAUGUUAAACUGUAAUACAAAAUAUAUUAAUUGGAGUAAGUCACAGGGGAUAGAAUUUGUGUUUAACAUGUGCUUACCAAAACAACAGUUACGAAUGCAUUUAAGUAUUUAAAAAGCAAACUUCACUAGCAGAUUGUGUUGCUGUUUUAUUCUACAAACUGCAACUUAACCUGGAGGAACUGAAGCUCUCAAAGAAAAUGAGUUUAAGGCUGUAGUUGUAGAGUAGAGAAAGAAACAUUUUCUGUAAGCUAAUUCAGGGUCACGUUAUCCUGAGCAUCCAUGGGAGCCAGUGUGGAGGAAAUUCCCCAUCAACAGGAGAUGCUAAGUUCAGAGCAGAACCUCUUUUAAUCACUAACUAGUCUUGGCCUCAAGAUCUUUAGCAGCAGCCACAGCCCAUCUCAGGUCUAAGUCAGAUUGCAAAAGAUGAUUCACUCACUGAAAGUCUGCUAAAAUAAAGUGUGGGUUUAUAAAUAUGCCUAUCCACCGACUUUUGUCUUUUCCACUUUAAAUCAAG